UCUUAAGCCACUUGCUUACCAAGUCAAUGUAUCUCAAUUUGAGAAUUUUUAGAUAUUUAUAUUAGAAAACAAGACAAAAAAACUAGGUAAGACAAUCAUUUUUUGCAGUGUGAGGGUGAAGAACCAAGCCCCGAGGGAACGUAGUGAACGAGCAGCUUCGGAUGACAGCGGCUUACAUUUAAUGUUGCUUGACAACACUUUGAGGCAGGAUAAAAUGCUCCAGGAACAAGUUCUUUAGAGUAUCUUCUCUAAUCACCUUUCAAUUAAUACAACCUGGACUGGUGUAGGGAAUCAAGCAUGUUUUAGAGACCUGUUUCUGAAGACCAUUGUUCAAAGAGCCAUCCGAAAGAACCCGGCAACCCAGGAUGCCACUGAUGGGGCUGUCCAGGUUAAUGUUACGCGUAACCUGAAAGGAGCAUCUGACCGUGAAGGCGGAUAAAGGCGGCACACAGCUGAGAGGGACCCACAGCUGACCCCUUAAACCGAGGCUGACUACUGACACCCCAGCAUCACUGACAACUGGAACCCUUUCUUUAUCCUGCAGUCAGUAACAUCAAGAAGCCUGAAAUGUGACAGUACACUCAACCAAUCCACACUUCACUGUGAAUUACUUUUCUUUUUUUCCAAAUUCCCUGGGACCCUGCCUUGAUGGCAGCUCCUCGGAAAGAUAUGGAAUGGCGAGAAGGUUUGUCCUUUAUACAGGUGCACGAGAUAAAGUACUGAUCAUAAGCGCCUCAUGCUUAUACAUUACAUUCAUGUGGAUCUUUUUUAAUGUCUUUAGUGUCUUUUACUGUUUUUUUUGUCAUGUGGAUUUGUUUUUUUUAAUCAUUCUGUUUAUGUUGAUGUGUGUUGUGUUAUAAGCUACUGGGACCUUGAAUUUCCCAUUGAGGAUCAAUAAAGUAUCUGUUCAUUUUUCAUUCACAAGAGACAGAUCAUAUUGCAGCAAAGUAAAAAUAUUGUGUCCCAGGUCAGCAAUGCCAUUAUAAUAGUCUAUUCUAGUCCAGAGCUUUACUCUAAAUCAGGGGUCCCCAGGAACAGGAUUGAGAACCACUGCUCUAAAUGAUUAACACUUAUCCUAUUGUUAGAAAUGACUAUUAUUUGGUAUGCUGGCCAUUCUUUGGUACCAAAUAUCCUCAUUACUUAAUAUAAUGUUUACUGGUAGCCUAAUUAUUUUCAUCUUAGAGCUGACCUCUAAAUUAUUAACAAUUGUUGAAAAUGUUCUAAUUUGCUUGUAAUGUUUUUUUUAAACUAGAAUUUAUUUGAAAACCUGUAUGUUUUUUAGUACUUUUUUUAUUUUUCAGUUAUUUAUAUUUUAGUGCUCUUACACAUCU